GUCCAAGGUUUUCCAUGCCAAACCUGUCGUUGCUGUGGAAGACCUAGAGAUCUCCUGCAACUGGCAGAUGUUGUAGUGGGUUUGGGAAGAGCAUCCUCUAUCCAAACCGAAAAAGGAUACAACAUGCACUGAAUGGUGACGCGAUGGCACAUGUCUCAAGUUGUGUUCCAGCUACAGUCCAGUCUUCGAAAGUCCUUGAAUGCACAGCGGUUAUGGGGGUGCUGACAGGGCAGUAGAAAGACACUGGUCACACUGCAUCCCUUGAAAGAGAGAGGAGAGGAAGCAGAGCAUGGGUACAGAUGCUAUGAGGCAUUUGGGGGUUGGGAGAGGCAUUGUUUGCCUGGGGAUUUUUGUUUUGUUUUUGUUUUCCUAUGCUUAAGCACUAAAACUGAGUAAAGCCCUUUAAAAUUCCUUCUGUCCUACAAAAGUAGGAAUGCCCUUAUCAGGAACUUGUGCGUGUCAAGUGGAACCAAGGUGAAGCUUUAAAGGACCAUGGUCAUGACAGAGACUUUCACCAUGCCCUGGAAAUGGACAGCCACCUGCAUACCUCAGAGGUUUACUAUAGCCUUUGACAUACCCUGUACGAAUAACACCAGAAAGGCAGAAGACUACAUCGUGCCACAGUCCAGACGCCAGAUACUGUCUGUAUUUGAAGGGUUUAGAGCCCUUGUCCCUUUAACAAAAUACAUGUAUGAUAGUGGUUUAAGGACAAACACUCCAUUGACUCACUUUGUACACCUUGUGCAUGAAAAAUAUUCCAGUUAAGUGUAUUGUCAAAACAUAGAUGUAGGAAAUAAUUCAUGUGUAAAGAUGUGCAUUAGUAACUUCAGCUUAGGGUUGCAAGGAGCUGUUUUAGCAUGAACGCUAUCCAAAAAAGGGGUGCUUAUUUCCAUAGAAAUGGAUGUACUGGAGCAUCAGCAAAGGAGCGUGAAGGUGUUCUUCAGUCCAAGACUCUUUGUUUCAGUGAAGUGAAUCUGAAUCUGGCCCUGGAUCCAAAUGCUGAGUGGAAAAGUGGGAAGCAGGAUGACCUACAAGAUGUAAAGCAUGACUGGGAAAAACCCUGUACUACCACUCUUAUACUUGGAAAAUGGCUUAUUUCAGGAUGUUGCCUGUUUCCUAUAGGUUUCUGUAAGCUGCUGGAGGUAAACUAGGUUGGGAUGCCUGUUUCUUCCCAGCUGUCCCGUCAUCUUCCCUUUUUGCUACUGAACCUUGUUUCUCCAUCAUGUGCCUGGAAAUGAAGCAAGGGAAGAAGUUUGGUUGGUUCUGCUUCCUCGAGGCACAGCAAAGGAGUGGUGGUGGGAGAGGGGCUUUGCUGUAGCGAGGGGAGGUGCAGGUACCACAGGUUGGAAGUACAAGGGCUGUGUUAAUUUGGCCAAGUCAGCCUUGGACAGCAGUGUCAAACUGCUUUGGCUUCCCCCUGCAGAGGCUCCAAGAGCAGCAAGGGUCUGAAAUAGGGUGUGAUGGGUGUAACUUUGC
rnacentral:lncRNA from 1 species